rnacentral:rRNA from 1 species
UAGCAUAUCAAUAAGCGGAGGAAAAGAAACCAACAGGGAUUGCCUUAGUAACGGCGAGUGAAGCGGCAACAGCUCAAAUUUGAAAUCUGGACCUAGUCCCGAGUUGUAAUUUGCAGAGGAUGAUUUUGGCGCGGUGCCUUCCAAGUUCCCUGGGACGGGACGCCGGAGAGGGUGAGAGCCCCGUCAGGUUGGACACCAAGCCUAUGUAAAUCUCCUUCGACGAGUCGAGUAGUUUGGGAAUGCUGCUCUAAAUGGGAGGUAUAUGUCUUCUAAAGCUAAAUACCGGCCAGAGACCGAUAGCGCACAAGUAGAGUGAUCGAAAGAUGAAAAGCACUUUGGAAAGAGAGUUAAACAGCACGUGAAAUUGUUAAAAGGGAAGCGUUUACGACCAGACUUGUGCCGGUUGAUCAUCCAGCGUUCUCGCUGGUGCACUCUGCCGGCCCAGGCCAGCAUCAGUUCGCCGCGGGGGAUAAAGGCGUCGGGAAUGUGGCUCCCCCGGGAGUGUUAUAGCCCUUCGCGCAAUACCCUGAGGCGGACUGAGGUUCGCGCAUUCGCAAGGAUGCUGGCGUAAUGGUCGUCAACGACCCGUCUUGAAACACGGACCAAGGAGUCGUCUUCGUAUGCGAGUGUUCGGGUGUAAAACCCCUACGCGUAAUGAAAGUGAACGCAGGUGAGAGCUUCGGCGCAUCAUCGACCGAUCCUGAUGUUCUCGGAUGGAUUUGAGUAAGAGCAUACGGGGCCGGACCCGAAAGAAGGUGAACUAUGCCUGUAUAGGGUGAAGCCAGAGGAAACUCUGGUGGAGGCUCGCAGCGGGUUCUGACGUGCAAAUCGAUCGUCAAAUAUGGGGCAUGGGGGGCGAAAGACUAAUCGAACCUUCUAGUAGCUGGUUUCCGCCGAUCU